GACGAACGCUGGCGGCAUGCCUAACACAUGCAAGUCGAACGAGAUCUUCGGGUCUAGUGGCGCACGGGUGCGUAACGCGUGGGAAUCUGCCCUUUGGUUCGGAAUAACAGUUGGAAACGACUGCUAAUACCGGAUGAUGACGAAAGUCCAAAGAUUUAUCGCCAGAGGAUGAGCCCGCGUAGGAUUAGCUAGUUGGUGUGGUAAAGGCGCACCAAGGCGACGAUCCGUAGCUGGUCUGAGAGGAUGAUCAGCCACACUGGAACUGAGACACGGCCCAGACCCCUACGGGAGGCAGCAGUGGGGAAUAUUGGACAAUGGGCGAAAGCCUGAUCCAGCAAUGCCGCGUGAGUGAUGAAGGCCUUAGGGUUGUAAAGCUCUUUUACCCGGGAUGAUAAUGACAGUACCGGGAGAAUAAGCUCCGGCUAACUCCGUGCCAGCAGCCGCGGUAA
rnacentral:rRNA from 1 species